rnacentral:lncRNA from 1 species
ACUGGCAGCCCAAAGGACCUUCUUUCUAACUUGUAGGAGAAAUGAUUUAUGAAAAAAAGAGCAUAGGAGGAACAAAAGAGAAAAGGGCUAAGAAUGAAAAUAACAUGUUAUAAAUUUGUUACUAAAUGUUAUAAUUUAUAAAUUGAAUAUUUUAAUUUCAUCAAAAUAUGAAAUAUAUUGUAAUAGAUGGUUUGAAAAAUUUAUUAUUUUAAUAAAAUAUUAUCUUAAAUUUAAAAUAUAUUACAUGGGU